GACGGACGCUGGCGGCGUGCUUAACACAUGCAAGUCGAACGGAAAGGCCCCAGCUUGCUGGGGUACUCGAGUGGCGAACGGGUGAGUAACACGUGGGUGAUCUGCCCUGCACUCUGGGAUAAGCCUGGGAAACUGGGUCUAAUACCGGAUAGGACCGUGCUUUAGUGUGUGCGGUGGAAAGUUUUUCGGUGCAGGAUGGGCCCGCGGCCUAUCAGCUUGUUGGUGGGGUAAUGGCCUACCAAGGCGGCGACGGGUAGCCGGCCUGAGAGGGUGUACGGCCACAUUGGGACUGAGACACGGCCCAGACGCCUACGGGAGGCAGCAGUGGGGAAUAUUGCACAAUGGGCGCAAGCCUGAUGCAGCGACGCCGCGUGGGGGAUGACGGCCUUCGGGUUGUAAACCCCUUUCGGCAGGGACGAAGCUUUUGUGACGGUACCUGCAUAAGAAGCACCGGCUAACUACGUG
rnacentral:rRNA from 1 species